rnacentral:rRNA from 1 species
GAUGAACGCUAGCGGCAGGCUUAACACAUGCAAGUCGAGGGGCAGCAUGACACGGAGAUUCGUCGAAGUGUUGAUGGCGACCGGCGCAAGGGUGCGUAACGCGUGAGCAACUUGCCCGUUUCAGGGGGAUAACCGGUGGAAACGCCGACUGAUACCCCAUAGCAUCACCUUAAGGCAUCUUUUGGUGAUUAAAGAAUUUCGGAAACGGAUAGGCUCGCGUGACAUUAGCUAGAUGGCGGGGUAACGGCCCACCAUGGCGACGAUGUCUAGGGGUUCUGAGAGGAAGGUCCCCCACACUGGAACUGAGACACGGUCCAG